AUUCAAAUUUAUUAUUUCUUAAUCAACUAUAAACUAUAUUAUUCCAAAUUAAAAAUAAUAUUAGUAAUAUUGCAACUGAAACCACAUAUGUGAUAGCACUUGUGAUAUUUUUGCACAAAUAUCGCUAUGAAAUGAAUAUAUAAGAAUAUUAAUGAAAUGAAAGCUUACCAUUUAAUAAAUAAUUAUUAGCUAUAAUAGUAUAUACUAGUAAAUUUUUAAGCACUAUUACUCACAUUUUAUAACUAAUUGUAAAUUCCCAUUGCCAUUUAUGCAUUUUUCGAUAAUUACCUUUUGUUUUGAUUUAUGCAUCCCGAUAAACGUAUAAACGCACAGCUGCACAAUCUCUCCUAAAUUGCACUUGCGGUUUAAUUUAACUUUUUAGACUGAAAUAAAGCUUAGACAAGUAUGGAGAAAAUGACCGGACGAUGUCCCGACUCUUCUCUCUAAAUCCAAUUAGCGGAUCUUCUCACUGCUAAGUUUGUUGCGCAUCUUAUAGGUGUUCCUACAAAUAGAAUUAAAAGUAAAAUGAAUUAAUUAAUUGUAUCAAUUGUUAUUGUUUUAAUCUACAUAAUAAUUAUAACUAAACCUACUCAAUAGUUUUAAACUAGUUAUUUAAGCACAUCAAAUGUUAUUCAUUUUUGUUUUUGAUCUGCUCUUUUGUAUAAUAUGUAACGCAAUGCUGCACAGCAAUUUAAUGUUGCACUUGCGACUAUUUAAACAGCUCAUGUGAGCAAGUUUCGGCUAAUAUCGACCUAAGUAACUUAAGGCGCCAUGUAAAUUCAAAAAAAAUGCUAACGAAGAGUAUUAUAUGAAUAAAGAAUAUCUCUCUAUUCUCUCCUCCUCUCCAUUUAGCUGCUGGUCAGCUGUUAUGGGCGAGAAUGGAGGAAAGAGAGAUUAUUAAUGUGUGUUCUGUCAAGGCAUACAAACAGAAAA